ensembl:lncRNA
CAUUGGUCCACUACAGCUCCUCCUCUAGCCAAUCAAUCGAAGAGGGGAGUUGACGUCACUCCACUGCGACUCAUGGUAGUUGUGUUCAGAGACAUAUAUAGACGCAUUUUUCUGUUGACUGUUGAAUAGUAGGACAACGGUAAUAAAUUUCAGUUUAUAGUAUAAUCUAUACUGCCGUUUUUCUGCAAACCGACUUUUAUGACAAGCUCAUCGUUUCGACUGAAGUUAGUAGUUAGCUGGCUGGUUAACCUUUCUCACACGGAUGGUUUCCCAAAGAGAAACAGUUGAGGCAGAGGGAAGUAGAUGUAAGAAGGGAAGGUGUUUCCGCAAGUGAGCACUUCCAAGCCGGAGGACUUUGACAGGAUAGGAUAGGACAGGACAAGAGAUGGAGAUAAACCACCUGUCUUCAGUUUCCCCACUCAUCUCCAAACAUAGAUUAUAGGACAGUCUUGCCCGGACCAAUAUGGCGGCGACGUUGACCUACGAUCCAGCAGCUAACGGGGCGUCUAUGUAUGUCAACUCCCCUCUUCGAUUGAUUGGCUAGAGGAGGAGCUGUAGUGGACCAAUGGUGACGCUAAAGCCCACCCUGAUUUACAUGAAACUCGAACUGCAACAUUUGGAAACAAGCGCGAAGGGGAAAAACACAGCAUAAUAGUUAAAAAAAAAUAAAAAUAAAUAAAAAACAGAAAGAAAGAAAACGUUUUUGUGUGCGAAUUAUUUGUGCAAUAUAAUUGUAAAUACGUUUUUAAAUGCUUAUUAUUUUUCGAUCCGUGACCGCUAUACUUUUGACGGAAAAUGAAUAUUAUAGGUCCCAAACUGCUGAGAUUUACUGUUCACUUAAUUCCGCCUCAGUAUAUAACAUUAAAAUCCAAUCCAUGUUUUUUCUCACGGCCAAAAAAAAGAGAAAAGAAACUUGUGCCCCCUCUAGUGUACAAACAGCGAAAUUGCAAUGUUAUGAAGGUCAAAUACAUGACAUCCAAUUAAAUUAUCCUAUCUUUCGCGGUCAAAACUGCAUCCACUCAGCAGUCCUGCGUCAGUGCGCAUCUUACCGCAGGUCAUUU